UCUGAGACUCAGAAAAAACAAAGUGA
rnacentral:piRNA from 1 species